rfam:Rhizobiales bacterium TMED25 134928, whole genome shotgun sequence.
GGGCGGUUAGCUCAGUUGGGAGAGCAUCUCGUUUACACCGAGAGGGUCGGCAGUUCGAGCCUGUCACCGCCUA